UGAAAUAUCUUAUGUCAAAGCUUUCUUUUCAUUGAAGGAUAAUCCACAGUGAUGGUGGCAGGAGUGGAAUCUUGGAUUCACCACACCUGAGUUAAACUUUGGACAUCCCCUGAGGAACCUGCAGGACUGACAGCUCAGGAGUCCCAAGUUCAGCCAGACCAGACUUGAUACACCUGUGAGCCAUUGGAGGACUUCCAUCUCCUAUUUCAGAAGGAAACAUCCCAGACUAAAAAGACUCCUACAGCUGAUCCUGAGGAAAAACCUUUCCUACGUAAAAAGAUAAGUGAAAACCUACAUAAUCUUUAACACCUCUCCUUUCCCCUUGAAUGGAAUCCUUUUUCUGUUUCAUCGCAUUAUUAAGCAGUAUACUACCAUAUUCUUUGCAGUAGGACUAUAUACUGUAGCUUCUGCAGGGACAACAAUCCUAAUCACGUCAACCUUUUUUCUAUCAUCCUUCCUGCUGACAGCAAUUUACUGCUACCUUUAACUCAGACUGGAUAAAAUGAUCUCAUCUUCUAGGGCACCCUCUUUACCCUCCUACUUACUCUUUGCCUAUCUAUCCCUCCUGCUUCCUUGGACACCCCAGAUAGUCACCCCUCCCCUUCCACUAGCUCCUAAUUACCUCUACAAAACUCUCAACUUAACCUACUCUCUGUUAAACCAGUCCAACCCUUCUCUGGCAAAUGACUGCUGGCUUUGUAUCUCUCUAUCAGCCACUGCGUGUGUUGCCACCCCUGUUCCUGCAAAAAACCCUGUCUUUACUAACUUAACCUACCACCCUCGUUAUGAAGGAAAAGACCCUUUCUGACUUCUAAAUAUGCAAUCAUUAGCCAACUUCCCCAUCUUUGAUAGGACGAAGAAUACCCUAAUAGGAUGCACAAUCCAACUUUUACGGUCUUACAUUUCCAACUUCACUUAUUACAUGAGCAAUGAAAAGCCCUGUAACCACGAAUACUGUCUUAACUUUUCAAGCCCCCUUAUGCAUCCAACACAACCUUUUAUCAGGCCUGCCCCUGGGGCACCUACUAUCCCAUCAGUGUAAUUACACCCUUCAACUUCAAGCCCCAAUUUAUCAUAGUAACUUCUGAAUCACCCAAACAGCUCCAUUCAGAUGGCUUGUCUGCUUCUCAGGGCCUCCAAAAAUCAUCACCUUCUCCCUGCUUAACAAACAGUCUGGAUUUUGUAAUGGCAAAAAUGCUCCCUGCAUGACGAUUCACCCCUGGACCCCCUGCAGCAGUGCCCCCACCACUAAUGAAUGAUUUCUCAUCCCCUCUUUCAAUCACUCCCUUGAAUAGUUCCUAGCAGAUACAAAACGAUUUUUUCUCUAAUGGGAAAAUAGAACACAGGGAGCCACUCAGUUUGCUCCCAACACUCCUUUCCAGCUGCUCACCGGAGCCACAUUGGCAAGUACUCUAGGAGUAUGGGAAAAUGAAAACAACAAACUCACACACCUUUUUAACCUACACAACCAGUUCUGUUUACACAGCCAAGGCAUAUUCUUCUUAUGUGGAACUUCAACUUAUAUCUGCCUCCCCACCAACUGGACAGGCACCUGCACCUUAGUCUUCCUGAGUCCCAACAUUGACAUUGCUCCAGGACAUCAGACCCUAUCAGUGCUUGUCAAAGCUCAAGUCCAUCAGCACAGGGCUGUACAACUAAUACCCCUACUUAUAGGGUUAGGAAUGGCCACUGCUACAGGAGCCGGAAUAGCAAGUUUGUCCACUUCACUAUCCUACUACCACUCACUCUGAAAGGAUUUCUGACAGUUUGCAAGAAAUAACAAAAUAUGUCUUUACAACCCCAAAUAGACUCUUUGGCAGCAGUGACUUUCCAAAACCGCAGAGGCCUAGACCUCCUCACUGCUGAGAAGGGAGGACUUUGCAUCUUCUUAGGGGAAGAGUUUUGCUUUUACACUAAUCAGUCAGGGAUAGUACAAGAUCCCUCCUGGCAUUUACAGGAAAAGGCUUCUGAAAUCAGACAAUGCCAUCUUGCUAUUACUCGCCUUUGGACCCUGUACUUUUAACCUCCUUAUCAAAUAUAUUUCCUCCAGGAGUGAGGCCAUCAAGCUACAGAUGGUCUUACAGAUGGAACCCCAAAUGAGCUCAACUCACAGCUUCUACCGAGGACCCCUGGAUCAACCCACUGGCCAUUUGACUGGAGGUUGCAGGAAGUCAGAGACCCCAAAUGGAGGGACCAGCUGGAGCCAUGGCAGAGGAACAUAAAUUGUGAAGAUUUCAUUUUAAUAUGGACAUUUAUCAAUUCCCAAAUAAUACUUUUAUAAUUUCUUAUGCCUGUCUUUAAUCUAUUAAUCUUGUUAUCUUUGUAAGCUGAGAAUGUACAUCACCUCAGGACCACUAUGACAUUUGAAUUAACUGUACAAAUUUAUUAUAAAACAUGUGUGUUUCAACAAUAUGAAAUCAGUGCACCUUGAAAAAGAACAGAGUAACAGUGAUUUUUCAGGGAACAAGGGAAGACAACCAUAAGGUCUUCUUGCAGAGAGCCUAUAAAUGGAUGUGCAAGUAGGGAGGAUAUCACUAAAUUCUUUUCCUAGCAAGGAAUAUUAAUAAUUAAUACCCUGGGGAAGGAAUGCAUUCCUGGGGAGAGGUCUAUAAACGGCCACUCUGGGAGUGUCUGUCUUAUGUGGUUGAGAUAAGGACUGAAAUAUGCCUUGGUCUCCUGCAGUACCCUCAAGCUUACUAGGAUUGGGAAAUCACCCUGGUAAACUUGUCGUCAGACUGGUUCUCUGCUCUCAAACCCUGUUUUCUUUUGUUUAAGGUGUUUACCAAGACAAUACAUGCACAGCUGAACAUAGACCCUUAUCAGUAGUUCUGAAUUUGCCCUUGUCCUGUUUCCUCAGAAGCAUGUGAUCUUUGUUCUCCUUUUUGCCAUUUGAAGCAUGUGAUCUUGUGAACCUACUUCCUGUUCUUGUACACCCUCCCCUUUUGAAAUCCUUAAUAAAACUUGCUGGUUUUGUGGCGCAGGUGGUCAUCACAGUCCUACCAAUAUGUGAUGUCACCCCUGGAGGCCCAGCUGUAAAAUUCUUCUCUUUGUACUCUUUCUGUUUAUUUCUCAGCUGGUCGACACUUAUGGAAAAUAGAAAGAACCUACAUUGAAAUAUUGGGGGCUGGUUCCCCCGAUAACUGGCCUAGAGAUUUCCCCUCCAGAGAACACUACAACUGCAGGGCCCCUUCUUCACCCCAUCCAGCAGGAAGUAGCUAGAGUGGUCAUCACCCAAUUCCCAGCAGCA
rnacentral:lncRNA from 1 species